rnacentral:rRNA from 1 species
GUGUCAGCCGCCGCGGUAAUACGUAGGGGGCAAGCGUUAUCCGGAUUUACUGGGUGUAAAGGGAGCGUAGACGGUUAUGUAAGUCAGAUGUGAAAGCCCAGGGCUCAACCCUGGGACUGCAUUUGAAACUAUGUAACUAGAGUGCAGGAGAGGUAAGUGGAAUUCCUAGUGUAGCGGUGAAAUGCGUAGAUAUUAGGAGGAACACCAGUGGCGAAGGCGGCUUACUGGACUGUAACUGACGUUGAGGCUCGAAAGCGUGGGGAGCAAACAGGAUUAGAUACCCGCGUAGUCC